AUGCAAGUCGAGCGGACAGAAGGGAGCUUGCUCCCGGAUGUUAGCGGCGGACGGGUGAGUAACACGUGGGUAACCUGCCUGUAAGACUGGGAUAACUCCGGGAAACCGGAGCUAAUACCGGAUAGUUCCUUGAACCGCAUGGUUCAAGGAUGAAAGACGGUUUCGGCUGUCACUUACAGAUGGACCCGCGGCGCAUUAGCUAGUUGGUGGGGUAAUGGCUCACCAAGGCGACGAUGCGUAGCCGACCUGAGAGGGUGAUCGGCCACACUGGGACUGAGACACGGCCCAGACUCCUACGGGAGGCAGCAGUAGGGAAUCUUCCGCAAUGGACGAAAGUCUGACGGAGCAACGCCGCGUGAGUGAUGAAGGUUUUCGGAUCGUAAAGCUCUGUUGUUAGGGAAGAACAAGUGCGAGAGUAACUGCUCGCACCUUGACGGUACCUAACCAGAAAGCCACGGCUAACUACGUGCCAGCAGCCGCGGUAAUACGUAGGUGGCAAGCGUUGUCCGGAAUUAUUGGGCGUAAAGGGCUCGCAGGCGGUUNCCUAAGGUCUGAUGUGCAAAGCCCCCCGGCUCAACCGGGG
rnacentral:rRNA from 1 species